rnacentral:rRNA from 1 species
GUGGGGAAUAUUGGACAAUGGGCGAAAGCCUGAUCCAGCCAUGCCGCGUGUGUGAAGAAGGUCUUCGGAUUGUAAAGCACUUUAAGUUGGGAGGAAGGGCAGUAAGUUAAUACCUUGCUGUUUUGACGUUACCGACAGAAUAAGCACCGGCUAACUUCGUGCCAGCAGCCGCGGUAAUACGAAGGGUGCAAGCGUUAAUCGGAAUUAUUGGGCGUAAAGCGCGCGUAGGUGGUUUUGUAAGUUGGAGGUGAAAUCCCCGGGCUCAACCUGGGAACUGCCUCCAAAACUGCAUGACUAGAGUACGGUAGAGGGUAGUGGAAUUUCCUGUGUAGCGGUGAAAUGCGUAGAUAUAGGAAGGAACACCAGUGGCGAAGGCGACUACCUGGACUGAUACUGACACUGAGGUGCGAAAGCGUGGGGAGCAAACAGGAUUAGAAACCCUAGUAGUCC